ACAGGUGCGCAGCCGCGGGGCGCAGUGGGGCUGCGCGCGGGCGCUCGCGGCCGGCUGGAGGUGCCCGGCGAUCGGCCCCGCUCGAGCGGGGGACACUCACCGAGCGGCUGGAGAGUCUUUUCCGGGAGCUCCGGCUGAACAUGGCCGGACGCCUCCUGCUCGCAGCGCCGUCCGUCGGCAAUACAGUUACUAAAGGAACUUGAAGAGAUCCUCAUACAUAAUUGUCAACACGGGAAGACGCCUUUGCUAUAAUGUAAGGUGGAAAAACAAAACCCGAAUAGACUGUCUGCCUGUAAUUGCUCCUAAAAUAUGCAUCAAGAAACUGGAAAGAAAUACACAACACGUUAAAAUGCCACUGUUUGCAGAAUACAUUCAAAAGUAUUAUAUUGGGACUCCAAGACUCACAGUGAGGUCAGAAAAGGAAACAAACACUCGCUGAAGCUGUGUGACUUCCCCGACACGUAUGCUGAGUGCUCCACCGGAUUGUCUGAAUCCGACCUGCAGACAAGAAAAGAGAAGGUAAAGAGUCAGUGAGGACUGGUGGACGUAUUUUCCCCAGAUUUCA
ensembl:lncRNA PRICKLE2-DT PRICKLE2 divergent transcript